rnacentral:rRNA from 1 species
UACGUAGGGGGCAAGCGUUGUUCGGAAUUACUGGGCGUAAAGGGCGCGUAGGCGGUUCGCUAAGUUGAAUGUGAAAACUCUGGGCUUAACCCAGAGCCUGCAUUCAAUACUGGCGGGCUAGAGUUCUGGAGGGGAUAGCGGAAUUCCUGGUGUAGCGGUGAAAUGCGUAGAUAUCAGGAGGAACACCGGUGGCGAAGGCGGCUAUCUGGACAGAGUCUGACGCUGAGGCGCGAAAGCUAGGGGAGCAAACAGG